CACCCGCAGCUCGAGUGGUGGUCACUUUUAUUGAGCCUAAAGCGUUUGUAGCCGGUUUUGCAAAUCUUCAGAUAAAUUCCUCUGCUUAACAGAUGAUCUUCUGAAGAGACUGCGAGACUUGGGACCGGGUGAGGUUGAAGGUACUUCCGGGGUAGGGGUAAAAUCCUGUAAUCCUGGAAGGACGACCGGUGGCGAAGGCGUUCAACUAGAACGGAUCCGACGGUGAGGAACGAGGGCUAGGGUAGCAAACCGGAUUAGAUACCCGGGUAGUCCUAGCUGUAAACACUGCCCACUUGGUGUUGCCCCUCCGAUGAGGGGAGGCAGUGCCGGAGCGAAGGUGUUAAGUGGGCCGCUUGGGGAGUAUGGUCGCAAGGCUGAAACUUAAAGGAAUUGGCGGGGGAGCACCGCAACGGGAGGAGCGUGCGGUUUAAUUGGAUUCAACGCCGGAAAACUCACCGGGAGCGACCUUUGGAUGAGAGUCAGCCUGAUGAGCUUACUCGAUAGAAGGAGAGGUGGUGCAUGGCCGUCGUCAGCUCGUACCGUAGGGCGUUCACUUAAGUGUGAUAACGAGCGAGACCCCCAUCUCUAAUUGCUAACGUGCAUUCGCGUGCACGCGCACUUUAGAGGGACCGCCAGUGCUAAACUGGAGGAAGGAGGGGUCGACGGCAGGUCGUACGCCCCGAAUCUCCCGGGCAACACGCGCGCUACAAAGGGCAGGACAAUGAGUUGCCACCUCCAAAGGGGGAGCUAAUCUCGAAACCUGUUCGUAGUUAGGAUUGAGGGCUGUAACUCGCCCUCAUGAAUGUGGAUUCCGUAGUAAUCGCGGGUCAACAACCCGCGCUGAAUAUGCCCCUGCUCCU
rnacentral:rRNA from 1 species